AGAGUUUGAUCAUGGCUCAGGAUGAACGCUAGCUACAGGCUUAACACAUGCAAGUCGAGGGGCAGCAUGUUGGUUGCUUGCAACCAACGAUGGCGACCGGCGCACGGGUGAGUAACGCGUAUCCAACCUACCCUUGUCCAUCGGAUAACCCGUCGAAAGGCGGCCUAACACGAUAUGCGGUUCACGGCAGGCAUCUAAGGUGAACGAAAUGUGAAGGAGAAGGAUGGGGAUGCGUCUGAUUAGCUUGUUGGCGGGGUAACGGCCACAAGGCUACGAUCAGUAGGGGUUCUGAGAGGAAGGUCCCCACAUUGGAACUGAGACACGGUCCAAACUCCUAGGAGGCA
rnacentral:rRNA from 1 species